CAAUACUAGCUACAGCAGACUGUAAUUGUUUGCUCCAGUUAGCGAAAUUGGCCACCUCCGACCAUUCAGCUGCCAACUUUACACACUUUUCUAGUGCUUCAGUUCAGGGAUCUGGGGACUAUUCUACUCAUCAAGAAUAUCCUCCUAUUAGGGAGUAUACUCCUGGAAGAGAGAAGAGGGAAAGGAGUGCAAGGACAUGCCACUGACAUGUGGGGCCAGCUCAGGAGCGUAUGAUGCCGACUCCCAGGAAGUCGAUGAACGGCACAUCCUUCUUCUUGGCAGCGGCGCCGCCACCAUCUUCGUCAUCGUCGUCGGUGCCGCCAUGUUCGUCUCUGACCAUGCCAUCAUGACGAUGGUCGUCGUCCUCCGGUGCAG